GCCCUGGGGCCCGGACCAGCCAGACCAGCCACACCUACCAGCCGAGCCAUGACAUGCGCAGGGUCUUCACGGUGCAGCGCGGCACCUCAGGGGGAUCCACUGGAGGGCGCAAGGGAGCCAGCGCCGCAGACCACGCCCACAGGGCCAGGGUCCAUGUCCGACCCCACCGCCCAGUCACCUACUUCGCCCACCCUGCAGCGAGGAAAGACCCUGAGGACCGACCAGCACCCAACCCUGCUGCUCCAUCCGCUGCCAACCAGCUGGCUAGCCUGACCCAGCCAGGGGGGGUGAAGAUCGACCAGUCCGACCCGACCACGGUGGAGGCUCUGGUGGGACAGACGGUAGUGUUACCUUGCAGAGUCUCUCCAGCUCCGUCCUCCACCAUCCUAGUGGAGUGGAGGAAGGAUGGAGUCCCUCUCACUACCUUUAGGCAUCAUCCGCAGCCUAAUGGUUCCCUGUUAGUUGGUCCUCUAACUAAGGCUGACUCUGGUUGGUUGCUCUGUGUGGCAACGCGUGACCGUGAGAGAGAUCACCGCUACGUGUACCUGUCUAUCUCAGAGAACACCAGAGGAUCCCAGGCGGUACAGGACACGACAGGAAGCCUCCCCCAAGAUGGAGCAGACAGGACAGGAGAGACAGGAGUUAUACUGCCGUCAGUACCUCAUCACCAGCCCUCACCCAAGUUCAGUAUAGACCGAUCAGGUUCGUCGUCUGUGGAGGGGAAAGCAGGACAGACGGUCAGACUAGCCUGUAAGAUCAUCCCAACGUCAGCGCUCUCUUCGGUCAGCCUCCAGUGGACCAGAGAAGGACAGACACUCAACUCUCUCAGGUAACAGUGUUAGUCCUGCAAAACCCCCAGUUUGAGGUCAGAGCCACGGAUUCAGAGAUAUUUAAAACCUUUUUAUUCAGAGAUAUUUAAAAUAGAUCUUAAUAGCUUUUUAUUCAGAGAUAUUUAAAAUAGAUCUUAAUAGCUUUUUAUUCAGAGAUAUUUAAGACCUUUUUAUUCAGAGAUAUUUAAGACCUUUUUAGCUUUGCUUUUCCAUUUAGUUUUUAUUGUUAUUCUUUCAGUUUCUUUUGUUUGUUUUCUUCUCUGAAGUUCAUUGCAUUCAUGUCUGAAAUGUGCUAUAUAAAUACAUUUGAUUUGAUUUAGAGAGCUGGGACAUUUAAGGUUUCUAUAAUCUGAUGCAUUUUAACAUGACACUACAACAUUCUAUAACAGCCAUGUUAUCUCCCCGUUAACAUGACACUACAACACUAUAACAGACAUAUUAUCUCCCCCAUUAACAUGACACUACAACAUUCUAUAACAGACAUGUUAUCUCCCCGUUAACAUGACACUACAACAUUCUAUAACAGCCAUAUUAUCUCCCCCGUUAACAUGACACUACAACAUUCUAUAACAGCCAUGUUAUCUCCCCAUUAACAUGACACUACAACAUUCUAUAACAGACAUGUUAUCUCCCCCAUUAACAUGACACUACAACACUCUAUAACAGUCAUAUUAUC
rnacentral:lncRNA from 13 species